CAACCCUCAAGCACUGCUUGGUGUUGGGGCCCUACAGCUUCUGUAGGCCCUGAAAACUAGUGGCGGGCUCGCUAUAACUCCGAGCGUAGUAGUAACAUCUCGCUUAGGACGUGAUGGCGGGAUCCGGCCGUUAAACCCCCCAAUUUUCUGAA
rnacentral:misc_RNA from 1 species